UGCUGGGCCCAUAACCCAGAGGUCGAUG
rnacentral:piRNA from 7 species